AGCUUAGACGUGAGCAGCCUCACUAACCGGAACGAUCGAUGGAUCCGCUGCUCCACCGGCUUCUUUAUGCCGAUACACACAUCCUGUCCCUCUGGGGGACGGCCUAGGUCCGGGUGGGAUUUUGCGGAAGUACCCGGAACUGUUUGCAAGGUUCCCGCAGCCCGGCAGCUGAGAGUUCCUUCGGCUCCGUGAGCGCCCGUUUCUCCUGCUGUUUCGGAGAGCGAGCGGCAGUGAUGGCUCCGGUGUCUGGUUCGCGCAGCCCAGAGCGGGAGGCCUCAGGCUUCGGGUGGGGAACGCCGCAGUUCGCUGAAGAGCCCCAAGCCCAGUAAAGCCACCCGCUCGCCGCGGGGCCGCCGCUCGCGCUCGCCUUCUUGCUCUCGGUCGGCAGACCGGAAUGGCCACAGCCAAGGCUCCCGAAACCAGUCCUGUCGCUCCCGCUCGCAGUCACGCUCUCGAGAGCGGCCCUCUGCGCCACCAGGCACCCCCUUCGCUUCUGUCUCCUCGUCCGCUUAUGGCCCCUCCGGGGCGACAAGGAAAGGGAGGAGAGCCUGCGGCGAAAGAGAUUUAGUGAGAGAGAGGAUUGGAGAAUUUGGAGCUCCUGAAGUAUAGCGACUUUCUCCAAAGAAUCCAGAACUUGACUCUGAUGAACAUACACCAGUAGAGGUUGAAAAGCCAAAGAAAAGUACCACUUCAUCUUCUACCUAAGAAG